GAAACAUACACUAUUACCAGUAAAUAAAUGACACUUGACAAAUUGUUUAUUAUGAAACAAAGUAUUAUUAUAUCUACAAAAUACAAGCAAGAUUCAUUCGUCCGAAAUUCGCGUGUGUUCCUAGUUCGAAUACGUUUCCUUAUUUCAUGAGACCACUGCAUCGCGAAGGAUCGUCAUUGCAUCGUUCGUAGUUCUGAAUUAGGGCAUGCUGUCACAACGGAAUUGUGAAGCUCUUCUAACUUCUGCAACGUUCUGAAAUCUUGUUAAGAACACCCAAACUCUUUUGCCGUUUCUUAAUCUUGGCAAGUUCAUGGAGUAAACUGAGAAUUAUAUGAAACACAAUCAAAC